CAUUUGAGUUAUCAGAAUGAUACCCAAUAACAUGCAUGUUAGGACGAUGUGAGUUAUGAGAUUCUCUAGAAAUACUUCAGCUUUCAAUGGCUGAUGUUUCUUUGUAAAAAUUAAUUAAUAGUGGGAAACUCAAAGUACUCGGUUAUUUUAAUAUUAGAACGCAAGCCAACAAAAGCCAAAGCAGCAAGAUCUUUUUUAAAAAUUGUCAAAUUAAAAUAUCCAUUUUUAAUGUCUCUGAAUUCAUGAGUUUAUCAAAGUGCUCUUGGUACUUUUUAAUACUAGAACGAAAGCCAACAAAAACCAAAGUAGCAAGAUCUUUUUUUAAAAAUGUCAAAUUAAGAUAUCAAUUUUUAAUGUCUCUGAAUUCACGAGUUUAUCUAUAAGUGUUCCACGAGUUAGGAAGAGUUUCCAACAAGAAAAAUAUGUCAUGGACUCGGACUGACAAAACUAGCUUAGGUCAGUUCCAAAACUGAACUAGACCGGUUUCAACAAUGCAUGGCAGCCUUCCCUAGAAAAAAUAGCAUGGAGUGGUUUAGAAACAGGACUAAGACGGUUUUGACUAUUCCUUUGGCCGAGGGACCCCAAACCGGCCGGUUUCUAAAUCAGCUUGUGCUGGUUUUUUCUGUGUCUUUCCAAAUUAAAUUCGGUCAAAUUCAAUCCUUUUUAUUCCUUCUGUUUGCAUGUGAUUUUCUAGUUCAUCUUCCACUUUUCGAUCAUAUUUUGGCCAUCUAACACCAGGAUUGGUACAUGAGGGUGUCAAACAAAGGUAAACAAAGGGUAUCCAAUACGGGAUUUUCUUUUCUCAUGGGAAAAGCACGAGAAAAUUGCUAUUAUGGGACUCUAAACAUGUCGCUUCGCUAAAAUAGGACUCCUAAUAUUGGCUUCUCUAAAACAGGACUCCAAACGUUGCCAAUAAGCUAUACAUGACAUUUGGUUUAUUUUAAUCAUUUUUUAAGUCUGAAAUACAUGUAUUUUAUCGUAUUGACCGUAUUGCCCUUCUGCUAAUCUAAUCUCUCUGUACGUGAUUACUUGGUUCAUUCUGGUCGCGAUUCGCAUCGAGGUCUCGCGGGAGUGCGCGGCGCUCGUUCCGUCACCGCCGCUCGCCACCAAGACCGCCGCCCGUCGUUCCCCUCCCCCACGCGAGACGGCCACGCCAACGUGAGCCCUUCAUGGAGGGAGAUCCUCCGGCCGAAGAUGUCCACGUUGAGGCGAUCGGCAUGCACGCGGAGGCAAGGAAAGCUCUAGCCCUAGGUGAUGGCGGUGCCUUAGGCGCGUCGGGCCCUGUUGCCUUGGCCAUGGCGGUGCCUGGCGUCCUUCCACAGCCAGCCGAGGCUCCAGCAGAUGGCCUCCAGCAGCUGGACGCGGCUCUUGGAGGGCAGGCCACGACGGCUGGUGGCUUGGCCGCUCAGGCUGCAGUGAAGAACCCUAGCGAUGCACAGCCCAAGCAAGAGCACUACUGCCUACUGCUCCUGUUCCGGCAAUAGAGUAUAACCUUCCCGUUGUUCAAGUAGAAAGGUCUCAAGUUAAUGACGUAGAAAAUAUGGAAAGAGUUGAUUGGGCUACCAUACAGAUAGUUGAGACACAUGAUGAUGAAGGUCGAAUUGAAAUUAUGAGUGAGAGUCAGAUGUGUGAGCUUUUAGGCUUGAGAGAUGAGGGCACACCAAAUAUACCUACACAAGGAUUUGAUUGCCGAACGGAUGAACAAGGCAAUGAUAAUGAGCUUGGGCAAGAUAUUGAUGGUGCUGCCAUUCCUACUAAUGAUGUCGUACCGGGUGAGAUCAUCAUUUCAUAUGAUAAGAACAACCCAUCAAUGAAGGUAGGGACACAGUACCCAACAAUGGAAGAGUUCAAGUUGGCAGUUCGGCAAUUUGCCAUCAAGAAGGAAUUCCAUCUAGGAGUAGAGAAGUCAUGUAAGCAGAGAUACAGGGCUUAUUGCAAGUCUGGUGAUAAAUCGACGGGCCCUUGUCCCUGGAAGAUAAAUGGCAGAAAAUUGGAUGGCAGCGCAACUGUGGAGGUAACCGUUUUAGUUGAUAAACAUGAAUGUGUGUCUAGCCAGAGGAUGCAGAUUACAACUCCAAGUUGCAAGUGGGUAGCUAGCAAGGCUGUGAGUAUUCUUAGAGUCCCAUAAUAGCCAUUUUCUCGAAAAGCACCACCAUUCGUUUAUAUUUCAAGGCAAAGUAUCAACUAUACUAGCAAGAUAUUCUCAUUCGUUGCUCGACUCAAUAAGUGUCUCGUUUGUAAUGUUCUCCCCCAUUUAAGUAACGUGGAACGGUUGUAGUACAACUCUAACUUACUCACUAUGUAGAAUGGAGCAUGAAAUACGAAGAAUGGAGCAUAGAAUUCUUAUUGUGUGCUUUGUCCAUCAAAUUGUUGUAAAUGAAAUGGUUGUAAGAGAAUCUAUGAGGAAAAAAUUGGUUUAUCAUGGUUAUCUCUUACAACCACUUCGUUUACUCAUUAUAAUGGAUGUUUAUUUGUCACCUUAUAUACAUGUUCAACUUGGAGAAAACCAUCAAUCCUACAUUUCAAAAAAAUACGUUUUAAAAAAAGCAUCAAUCCUUGGGUUUCAUCAGCUCAAUCAAAUCCUCGACAAGUUGCCUAAUCAUCACUCUAUAUUUCCAUUUCGUGGGUUAUGUCUUAUAACGUUUGUCUAAAUCUAUCAUUUAAAUAACCGAAUAAAAGCAUCAAUCAAUCCUUAAACAUGUAUACAAAGUGAAAAUUAGGAAACUAGUCAAGGCUUGAUUGAUGGUUAAAACACUCAUCAAGGAUUGAUUGAUAGUUUUCUUUGGUACUUUUAAUGGUAGAUUUUGGACAUAUUAUGAAGCAAGGGUUACUUCCACCGGAAUUUUUUUUGAGGAAUACUUCCAUUGGAUUGAGUAUAUUCAAUAUAAGAAUAACUUGUCGUCUUCUUGAGGAGGUGACAUAUAAAGGCAGUGAAUUUCCCCAUAGUGCAAACAAAUCGAUUCACUUAAUUAGUACAAGCUAAAAAACAGGUAUGCAACAUUUAUUCUUUGAAUUGUGGAUGCUAAAGAUUACACCCCCUAGCUACUAACAACAUCCAGAAGUGAUGGAACAAGCAAAAUUAUCGACUAGUAUCAAAAUUUGGGUAUCGCUUUUGUAUGCCUAGUUCUGGUUUUAAAUGUAGUAAUCAUAGGGUAUUUAGAACCAGAAAUGAAGGACAACUCUAGUAGUGACCGCCUAGGAACACGCUGAAAGUGCUGUAUCUCAAUGUGGCCUCUCUCUUUUUAUGUUAGAACUAGGGUUUUGAUCCUUCGUUGGCAGCCCAUAAUCUGGACAAUCCCACGCGAUAUCCAUGCAUUAGUUUAACGAUGGAACGCCAACUUUGGUUUUGAGCGAAUACACCCCGUUCCCUCCAAAAGAAAUUGCUGAAAUGCCUAACCCUAGUCAAAUCCAUUGCAAUAACGAACCCACCAUGCACAUCCCUAGCCGAUUUUACUUGUUUUCACCAACAUGGAGUCACUACAUGCCAUGCUAUACCUUAGCCAUGCUUAUUUUAGUGCUGGGACGAUUAUGCUCAUUCCCUGUGCUUAUUUACAAUAAAUAAAUAAUUUUGUAGGUAGAGAAACUGGUGUGAGACACUACUAAGUAUUUCCUCAUCGAUCAUUUUGGUAGACUUUGAAAAAAUUAGUAUCAUCACAUCACUAAAAGAAGGCAGCAUUUGCUUAGGCAAAUGUGUAGUGGGAUGAACUUUAUAUCAAAACUGAAUAGAGGUGGCUAGGGAUGUAAACGGAUCUGAUGUGGAUGGAUCCCUAUAUUGAUACAAAUACAUAUAGCUACAUUAUUCUUCGGGUUUGGAUUCAGAUACAAAUAGUAUCAGCUAUGUCGGAUAAGAUAUGAAUGGGUAUCGACAUCAUAUAUGAUAUAUAUCCAAAUUUUAGUAUCUGGAUACGGUCCUAUGGUAUGGAUACUGAAUGCCUGGAUUCGGAUAUAGAAUGGAUACGAAGCCCUUCAGCCAACGGUUAAUUUGGGAAUAUCCAUACAAGUUACACCCCUACUGAUGAACCUUUUGCAACAAAAUAUUAACAUUAAGGGUAAUUUUUGCAAUAUUUCAUAAAGUGAAUGGUUGAUGGACAACGGAAAUGGCACAUAAAUGACCCUAAUAAUUCCUACACAUGUAGUUGGACAAUCAUAAUGGUGGCAAUGCAAAGAAAGGACAGAGUUCG